CUGAAGGGUGGGAUGUGCCCACUCGGUACAUAUACCCUGCUCCACACAUCCCCGAAGAAACCCAGUCUCACCAGAGUGUUCUCUUGAGAAUUAUUAGUAACAACCUUUUUUCCCAAUAUUUCACAUAUGCAGGAUGAUUUCUUACUUUCCUUUAAAAUGUCAAUCAUUUUUUGGACUUGGAAUUCUCCACUGCUGGUCCACACCACUGUAUUCUCCCAUACGGGCAUCCCCCGAGUUGGAGAAAGAGUCAUUCCCAGGAAUGGAUAAAAGCCAGAAGGGCAUCAUCAGGUCCCACUCUGACCUUCCAGGAGCUGCUCCUUCCACUGCCUGUGAUCCUGAGGGUCAGCAUGUCCAGCCAGGCCAAGUAGCGCGAUCAGUCCUCUCCUCUGUCCCAGUUCAUGGAUGGGCACAGGGUGCGGGUGGUGGGGGUAGUCCACCCGGUUCCUGCUAAUCCCACUGGAUCAUCAGGUGGGGAGAGCCAGCUUGCAUAGUGAAACCAAAGAGAGCUGCGAGAUGGAGAGUGAGAGUGGGAUAUCAAGAGAGUGAGACACACACACACACACACACACACACACACACACAGACAGAGAAACAAAGAAAGCAAGCAAGCAAGAAAGCAAGCAAGCAAGCAAGCAAGCAAGAAAGAAAGAAAGUGAGAGAGACAGAGAGGGAGACCAAAAAGUCAGAGAAGCAGAGACACAGAGAGACAUAGAAAGAUAGAGAAAGAGAUGGGGGAAGAGAGAGACAGAGAAACCCACAGAGUCUUAAAAAGAGACAGAGAGAGACAGAGCAACCAGGAGAGAGACACAGAGAGGGAGAAACAGAGACAGACAAAGACAGAGGCAGAGAGAGAUGGAAAGAGAGAUGGGGAGAGGGACAGAAAGAGAGAAGCAAAAGCACAACAUUCCUUGAAUUGCUUCUCCCUGAAGUCACCAUUCUAUUUCUGCACUUCCAGUCGCCACCAAGAAUCUUUCUAAGUCACCUGUCCUCCUUCCUUCCCCAUCUUCCUCAUGCACUCUUACUAAAGACUCCUGAAAUCUGCCUUCCCAAUGACAACUCCUCCCUGAAAUGUCACCACUGACUUCCAAAUAACCAGCAAAUAAAAAAGGUUUUUAAAACAAUUACUUCCACCAGUUUCUCAGUUUAACUAAAAGUUAUGGUGCUCUUUCUCAAUACCUCUCUCGAAAAUCUUUCUCUUUGUUUUUUAUUUCUUUGCAUGAAUUAACAUGAAAAUAGAGCACAACAUAUUAUAGUGAAUAUAGACUAUAAAUGAUGUUUUGUGCCUACGUUAUUAAUAGUGAUAAACACUGUAUAAGUAAUUUAUUUUUGCCAUUAUUUUC
rnacentral:lncRNA from 1 species